rnacentral:rRNA from 1 species
GACGAACGCUGGCGGCGUGCCUAAUACAUGCAAGUCGAACGAACUCUGGUAUUGAUUGGUGCUUGCAUCAUGAUUUACAUUUGAGUGAGUGGCGAACUGGUGAGUAACACGUGGGAAACCUGCCCAGAAGCGGGGGAUAACACCUGGAAACAGAUGCUAAUACCGCAUAACAACUUGGACCGCAUGGUCCGAGUUUGAAAGAUGGCUUCGGCUAUCACUUUUGGAUGGUCCCGCGGCGUAUUAGCUAGAUGGUGGGGUAACGGCUCACCAUGGCAAUGAUACGUAGCCGACCUGAGAGGGUAAUCGGCCACAUUGGGACUGAGACACGGCCCAAACUCCUACGGGAGGCAGCAGUAGGGAAUCUUCCACAAUGGACGAAAGUCUGAUGGAGCAACGCCGCGUGAGUGAAGAAGGGUUUCGGCUCGUAAAACUCUGUUGUUAAAGAAGAACAUAUCUGAGAGUAACUGUUCAGGUAUUGACGGUAUUUAACCAGAAAGCCACGGCUAACUACGUGCCAGCAGCCGCGGUAAUACGUAGGUGGCAAGCGUUGUCCGGAUUUAUUGGGCGUAAAGCGAGCGCAGGCGGUUUUUUAAGUCUGAUGUGAAAGCCUUCGGCUCAACCGAAGAAGUGCAUCGGAAACUGGGAAACUUGAGUGCAGAAGAGGACAGUGGAACUCCAUGUGUAGCGGUGAAAUGCGUAGAUAUAUGGAAGAACACCAGUGGCGAAGGCGGCUGUCUGGUCUGUAACUGACGCUGAGGCUCGAAAGUAUGGGUAGCAAACAGGAUUAGAUACCCUGGUAGUCCAUACCGUAAACGAUGAAUGCUAAGUGUUGGAGGGUUUCCGCCCUUCAGUGCUGCAGCUAACGCAUUAAGCAUUCCGCCUGGGGAGUACGGCCGCAAGGCUGAAACUCAAAGGAAUUGACGGGGGCCCGCACAAGCGGUGGAGCAUGUGGUUUAAUUCGAAGCUACGCGAAGAACCUUACCAGGUCUUGACAUACUAUGCAAAUCUAAGAGAUUAGACGUUCCCUUCGGGGACAUGGAUACAGGUGGUGCAUGGUUGUCGUCAGCUCGUGUCGUGAGAUGUUGGGUUAAGUCCCGCAACGAGCGCAACCCUUAUUAUCAGUUGCCAGCAUUAAGUUGGGCACUCUGGUGAGACUGCCGGUGACAAACCGGAGGAAGGUGGGGAUGGCGUCAAAUCAUCAUGCCCCUUAUGACCUGGGCUACACACGUGCUACAAUGGAUGGUACAACGAGUUGCGAACUCGCGAGAGUAAGCUAAUCUCUUAAAGCCAUUCUCAGUUCGGAUUGUAGGCUGCAACUCGCCUACAUGAAGUCGGAAUCGCUAGUAAUCGCGGAUCAGCAUGCCGCGGUGAAUACGUUCCCGGGCCUUGUACACACCGCCCGUCACACCAUGAGAGUUUGUAACACCCAAAGUCGGUGGGGUAACCUUUUAGGAACCAGCCGCCUAAGGUGGGACAGAUGAUUAGGGUGAAG